rnacentral:rRNA from 1 species
GUUAUAUGGUCAAGCGAAUAAGCGCACACGGUGGAUGCCUUGGCGGUCAGAGGCGAUGAAGGACGUGGCAGCCUGCGAAAAGUAUCGGGGAGCUGGCAACAAGCUUUGAUCCGGUAAUGUCCGAAUGGGGAAACCCACCCGCUUGCGGGUAUCCUGCAGUGAAUACAUAGCUGCUGGAAGCGAACCUGGUGAACUGAAAUAUCUAAGUAACCAGAGGAAAAGAAAUCAACCGAGAUUCCGUAAGUAGCGACGAGCGAACGCGGACUAGCCCUUAAGCUGGAUUGGUUCUAGGAAAACGCUCUGGAAAGAGCGGCCAUAGAAGGUGAUAGCCCUGUAUCUGAAAGGGCCAUUCCAGUGAAGACGAGUAGGGCGGGGCACGUGAAACCCUGUCUGAACAUGGGGGGACCAUCCUCCAAGGCUAAAUACUACUGACCGACCGAUAGUGAACCAGUACCGUGAGGGAAAGGCGAAAAGAACCCCGGAGAGGGGAGUGAAAUAGAACCUGAAACCGUGUGCGUACAAGCAGUAGGAGCUCCGCAAGGAGUGACUGCGUACCUUUUGUAUAAUGGGUCAGCGACUUACUGUUCGUGGCAAGCUUAACCGUAUAGGGGAGGCGAAGGGAAACCGAGUCUGAUAAGGGCGCAUAGUCGCGGGCAGUAGACCCGAAACCGGGUGAUCUAGUCAUGCCCAGGGUGAAGGUGCGGUAACACGCACUGGAGGCCCGAACCCACUCCCGUUGCAAAGGUAGGGGAUGAGGUGUGAUUAGGAGUGAAAAGCUAAUCGAACCCGGAGAUAGCUGGUUCUCCUCGAAAGCUAUUUAGGUAGCGCCUCAUAUGUAUCCUCUCGGGGGUAGAGCACUGUUAUGGCUAGGGGGUCAUCGCGACUUACCAAACCAUUGCAAACUCCGAAUACCGAGACGGACUGUAUGGGAGACACACGGCGGGUGCUAACGUCCGUCGUGAAAAGGGAAACAACCCAGACCCACAGCUAAGGUCCCAAAUUCACUGCUAAGUGGAAAACCAUGUGGAAAGGCACAGACAGCCAGGAGGUUGGCUUAGAAGCAGCCACCCUUUAAAGAAAGCGUAAUAGCUCACUGGUCGAGUCGGUCUGCGGGGAAGAUUUAACGGGGCUAAGCAGUGAACCGAAGCUUGGGGUGCAUACUUUGUAUGCGCGGUAGAGGAGCGUUCCGUAAGCCGUUGAAGGUGGAUUGAGAAGUCUGCUGGAGGUAUCGGAAGUGCGAAUGCUGACAUGAGUAACGAUAAUGCGGGUGAAAAACCCGCACGCCGAAAGCCCAAGGUUUCCUUGCGCAACGUUAAUCGGCGCAGGGUGAGUCGGCCCCUAAGGCGAGGACGAAAGUCGUAGUCGAUGGGAAGCAGGUUAAUAUUCCUGCACCUCGCGUAAGUGCGAUGGAGGGACGGAGAAGGUUAGGUGUACCAGGCGUUGGUUGUCCUGGGGAAAGGCGGUAGGUUUGGAUCUUUGGCAAAUCCGGGAUCCUCUAAGACCGAGCACCGAGACGAGCCUUUAAGGCGAAGUCACUGAUACCACGCUUCCAGGAAAAGCUCCUAAGCUUCAGCUUACGCAGACCGUACCGUAAACCGACACAGGUGGGUAGGAUGAGAAUUCUCAGGCGCUUGAGAGAACUCGGGUGAAGGAACUAGGCAACAUGGCACCGUAACUUCGGGAGAAGGUGCACCCUUUUUGGUGGCUCGUGCGAGCUAUAGCUGAAGAGGGUCGCAGUAACCAGGCCGCUGCGACUGUUUAUCAAAAACACAGCACUCUGCAAACACGAAAGUGGACGUAUAGGGUGUGACGCCUGCCCGGUGCUGGAAGGUUAAUUGAUGGGGUCAGCCGCAAGGCGAAGCUCUUGAUCGAAGCCCCAGUAAACGGCGGCCGUAACUAUAACGGUCCUAAGGUAGCGAAAUUCCUUGUCGGGUAAGUUCCGACCUGCACGAAUGGCGUAACGACAGCGGCGCUGUCUCCACCCGAGACUCAGUGAAAUUGAAAUCGCUGUGAAGAUGCAGCGUUCCCGUGGCAAGACGGAAAGACCCCGUGAACCUUUACUAUAGCUUUACACUGAACGUUGAGUUCGUCUGUGUAGGAUAGGUGGGAGGCUAUGAAACCAUGGCGCUAGCUGUGGUGGAGCCAUCCUUGAAAUACCACCCUGUCGUGCUUGACGUUCUAACCUGGGCCCAUUAUCUGGGUCGGGGACCGUGUAUGGUGGGUAGUUUGACUGGGGCGGUCUCCUCCUAAAGAGUAACGGAGGAGCUCGAAGGUACGCUCAGCGCGGUCGGACAUCGCGCACUGUGUGCAAAGGCAUAAGCGUGCUUGACUGCAAGAUCGACGGAUCAAGCAGGUAGGAAACUAGGACUUAGUGAUCCGGUGGUUCUGUAUGGAAGGGCCAUCGCUCAACGGAUAAAAGGUACUCCGGGGAUAACAGGCUGAUACCGCCCAAGAGUUCAUAUCGACGGCGGUGUUUGGCACCUCGAUGUCGGCUCAUCACAUCCUGGGGCUGUAGUCGGUCCCAAGGGUAUGGCUGUUCGCCAUUUAAAGUGGUACGCGAGCUGGGUUCAGAACGUCGUGAGACAGUUCGGUCCCUAUCUGCCAUGGGCGUUGGAGAUUUGAGAGGGGCUGCUCCUAGUACGAGAGGACCGGAGUGGACGAACCUCUGGUGUUCCGGUUGUCACGCCAGUGGCAUUGCCGGGUAGCUAUGUUCGGAAGCGAUAACCGCUGAAAGCAUCUAAGCGGGAAGCGCGCCUCAAGAUGAGAUCUCCCGGGGCACAAGCCCCCUGAAGGAACCAUGUAGACUACGUGGUUGAUAGGUCAGGUGUGUAAGUACAGCAAUGUAUUGAGCUAACUGAUACUAAUGAUCCGUGCGGCUUGACCAUAUAACCU